AGUAUCAUUAAGUGAAUACAUAGCUUAAUGAGGGGAACUCAGGGAACUGAAACAUCUAAGUACCUGAAGGAAGAGAAAGAAAUUCGAUUCCGUAAGUAGCGGCGAGCGAACGCGGAUUAGCCCAAACCAAUAAAGUUUUCUUUAUUGGGGUUGCGGACAUAUCAUAACGAAGAGGUAUCGUAAUUGAAGAGGUUUGGAAAGACCCACCACAGAAGGUAAUAGUCCUGUAUGUUAAACGAGAAGACUUUAGAUAUGAUCCAGAGUACCACGGGACACGUGAAACCCUGUGGGAAGCAGGAGGGACCACCCUCCAAGGCUAAAUACUACCUAGUGACCGAUAGCGUAUAGUACCGUGAGGGAAAGGUGAAAAGAACCCCGGGAGGGGAGUGAAAUAGAACCUGAAACCCUGCACUUACAAGCUGUGGAAGCACAUUUCUUGUGUGACCGCGUACUUUUUGUAGAACGGGCCAACGAGUUACGUUAAGUAGCAAGGUUAAGCACUUAAGGUGUGGAGCCGUAGCGAAAGCGAGUUUUAACUGAGCGUUCAGUUACUUGACGUAGACCCGAAACCGGGCGACCUACCCAUGAGCAGGAUGAAGCGAAAGUAAAAUUUCGUGGAGGUCCGAACCCACGAGCG
rnacentral:rRNA from 1 species